AGUGAACGCUGGCGGUAGGCCUAACACAUGCAAGUCGAACGGCAGCACAGUAAGAGCUUGCUCUUACGGGUGGCGAGUGGCGGACGGGUGAGGAAUACAUCGGAAUCUACUUUUUCGUGGGGGAUAACGUAGGGAAACUUACGCUAAUACCGCAUACGACCUACGGGUGAAAGCAGGGGAUCUUCGGACCUUGCGCGAUUGAAUGAGCCGAUGUCGGAUUAGCUAGUUGGCGGGGUAAAGGCCCACCAAGGCGACGAUCCGUAGCUGGUCUGAGAGGAUGAUCAGCAACACGGGAACGAAGACACGGUCCGACAUCCUACGGAGGCAGCAGUGGGGAAUAUUGGACAAUGGGCGCAAGCCUGAUCCAGCCAUACCGCGUGGGUGAAGAAGGCCUUCGGGUUGUAAAGCCCUUUUGUUGGGAAAGAAAAGCAGCAGGUUAAUACCCCGCUGUUCUGACGGUACCCAAAGAAUAAGCACCGGCUAACUUCGUG
rnacentral:rRNA from 1 species